GGAGGCGCAAGGGGUCCGGUGAUCCUCGCAGUCCUCAAAACUGCCGAUUCGGUCCUUCGCGGGCUGAAUGGUGGGUUCGACUCCCACACGCUUCCGCCA
rnacentral:tRNA from 1 species